rnacentral:rRNA from 1 species
AAGGAUCAUUAGUGAAUUUAGCGCAUCUUUUUUAACAAAGAGCGUGACCCUCUCACUUUUCAAACUCUGUGCACUAUUUUGGCGAAGGAAUUAAGUUUCCUUUGCGGCUCAUCUUUUAAACAUCAAGUCAGAGAAUGUAAAGAAAUUUUAUAACAAAAAAAAACUUUCAACAACGGAUCUCUUGGCUCUCGCAUCGAUGAAGAACGCAGCGAAAUGUGAUAAGUAAUGUGAAUUGCAGAAUUCAGUGAAUCAUCGAAUCUUUGAACGCAUCUUGCGCUCGCUGGUAUUCCGGCGAGCAUGUCUGUUUGAGUGUCGUGAACUCUUCAACCCCCAAAUUUUGUAAGGAGAUUUGGUGCGGCUUGGUUUCUGAGCGCUUGCUGGAUUAGUAAAUAAUCGAAGCUCGUUCGUAAUAUAUUAGCAUUCUUCUCUUCGAAGUCAGAUUGACUCGGCGUAAUAGACUAUUCGCUGAGGACAUACUUAGGUAUGGCUGACCUUUGAUAUUAUUUGCUGGAAGCUUAUAAACCCCGACAAUUUAGUCAAAUCCCUAAGAUUAGACCUCAGAUCAGAUAGGAUUACCCGCUGAACUUAAGCAUAUCAAUAAGCGGAGGAAAAGAAACUAACAAGGAUUCCCCUAGUAACGGCGAGUGAAGCGGGAAGAGCUCAAAUUUGUAAUCUGGCACUUUCAGUGUCCGAGUUGUAAUCUCGAGAAGUAUUUUCCGCGCCGGACCGCACACAAGUCUGUUGGAAUACAGCGUCAUAGUGGUGAGAACCCCGUAUCUGGUGCGGAUGCCCGGUGCUUUGUGAUAUACUUUCGAAGAGUCGAGUUGUUUGGGAAUGCAGCUCAAAUUGGGUGGUAAAUUCCAUCUAAAGCUAAAUAUUGGCGAGAGACCGAUAGCGAACAAGUACCGUGAGGGAAAGAUGAAAAGCACUUUGGAAAGAGAGUUAACAGUACGUGAAAUUGUUGGAAGGGAAACGCUUGAAGUCAGACUUGCAUUUCGGAGUUCAGCCGCAAGGUGUAUUCUUCGAUUCGCAGGCCAGCAUCAGUUUUCGGGGGUGGAAAAGCGCGGUUUGAAGGUAGCAGUCUCGGCUGUGUUAUAGCUUUCCGCUGGAUUCACUUUUGGGGACUGAGGAACGCAGUACGCUUUUAGCAAGAUUCGCGAGUCUUUCGUACUUAGGAUGCUGGUGGAAUGGCUUUAAACGACC